rnacentral:lncRNA from 1 species
GUCUUCUUGCUGCAUUGUAACAUGGCAGGGGGCAUUACAUGGUGAGACCCAGCAAGCCUGCAGGAUCAGGUCUCUCCCUUUUAUAAAGCCAUUAAUGCCAUAAGGGGGCACCUCCUUCAUAAUCUUAUCUAUUCUCAUUCACCUCCCAAAGGCCUCACCUCCAAAUCCAUUAGCAAAUGAAUGUUGGGGUUAAAUUUCCAGCACAAGAACUUAAUGGGGAUAAAUUCAAACCUUAACAGUAGAGAUCAGAAUACAUUCAUUUACGGGACCAAGUAGUAAAUACUUUGAUUUUCUGAUCAGAGGGUGUCAGGUUGCACCUAUAUAACUCAGUCAUUGCAGUGUAAAAACAGCUGUAAGACAAUACUACAUGGAUGAGUGGGCUGUGCUCCAGUAAAAGUUUAUUUACAAAAACAAGUGGCAAGCUGCACUCUGGUACGUAGAAUAAAGAGUAAAUUCUUGAACUUUAAACCACUUUUAGUAAACCUGUCUCUACUUGCAUCUCUGAUUGCCCCCUCCUUCAUAUUGUCCUGCCCCCUCCUUCAUAUUUAAGGCUUUAAUGUUGCUUUUUUUGUUUUCUUUUGUAAAUGUUUCAUUUAGGUCUAAUUUACAUACCAUGGAAUUUAUCCAUUUAAAAUGAACAGUUAAUGUGUUGAGAGAAGAAAUCCCAUGCUUAUUAGAUACCUCCCCUAGCCCUUCCAUCAGCCACAUAGCUCUUGCCACAACUAAUCUAUUUUAUGACUGUGUAGAUUCACCUAUUCUGGAUAUUUCAUAUAAAUAAAAUCACAUAAUAAGUGGCCUUUUGUGACUAGAUUCUUUCAUAAUAAUUUUGGAAUUUCAAUUUCACUGUCUUUUCAAGAUUCAUCCAGACUGCAGC